GACGUAGGGCGCGAGCGUUGUCCGGAUUUAUUGGGCGUAAAGAGCUCGUAGGCGGCUUGUCGCGUCGACUGUGAAAACCCGCGGCUCAACUGCGGCUUGCAGCCGAUACGGGCAGGCGUAGAGUUCGGUAGGGGAGACGUGGAAUUCCGGAUGUGAGCGGUGAAAUGCGCAGACUAGCAGGAAGAACACCCGUGGCGGAAGGCGGCUCCUCUGGGACGGUACUGGACGCGAGACGCGAAAGCCGUGGGGAGCAAACAGG
rnacentral:rRNA from 1 species